CAAGGAUAUUUUCAUGUACAGGUCAGUACCAGUUCCUGAUUAAGCACACUGGAUAUUGUAUUCCCCCGUUGGGCUGUCUCGGUAAUUAGUCACAGCUUAAAAAAGUUGUGUAGUAGUGAAAUAAAAUGGUCAACAGUCUUUUAUGUCGGUGGGUGAUGUAUUGCCCCGUUGGGCCUCCUCACACUUUGCAAUGGAGAGAAGAAUUUGGAGGUGAAAGAAUGAUUAUCAGUAGAGUCAUCUGAGGAUUUAGACAUAUUAUUAUUAUUGCUGCCUAAAGGAUACUUAACAUGAGAAGAAGAAGAAAAGGAAGAAAGAGUUGCGGAUUUCCAAACUGUGAUUACUGUGUGCUGAAGGAUGGAUUAUGGAUUGAUUACCUUUUAUGGCUAACGCAGGCAGGGACCAAUAAUUCAGCAAGUCAAAAGGCUGCUACGUUGUAUUUGGUGGAUGAUAGGGAAUUUGUGUGUUUUUUGGUGUUUCUCUUUCGUCCUCUCCCCUUUGCGUACAAUUUCAAUCACAAGAACAAAAACAUAUUAUUGCAAUUAUAAUUUCUCUCACACGGAUCGGGAGGAAAGAAUGUACCUAUUUUUUGAAUUAUAUAAUUCUAGCGAGUGAUGCUAUUGCCGAUUUGAAUGCUUCGGUAUAAACUGGCACCGCCAUUAAUCUAGUUUUUUUCCAUUAUCAAUCGCAACGCAAUGAC
rnacentral:lncRNA from 1 species